rnacentral:rRNA from 1 species
UACGGAGGGUGCGAGCGUUGUCCGGAAUCACUGGGCGUAAAGGGCGCGUAGGUGGCCUGUGGAAGUCUGCGGUGAAAGCCCGGCGCUCAACGCCGGGUCGGCCGUGGAUACUCUCGGGCUCGAGCUUACUAGAGGCAGAUGGAAUUCCGGGUGUAGCGGUGGAAUGCGCAGAUAUCAGGAGGAACACCGGUGGCGAAGGCGGGUCUCUGGGCAGUAACUGACGCUGAGGAGCGAAAGCGUGGGGAGCGAACAGG